rnacentral:rRNA from 1 species
AACUGAGACCGGCUUUUUGGGAUUCGCUCCACCUUACGGUAUCGCAGCCCUCUGUACCGGCCAUUGUAGCAUGCGUGAAGCCCAAGACAUAAGGGGCAUGAUGAUUUGACGUCAUCCCCACCUUCCUCCGAGUUGACCCCGGCAGUCUCCCAUGAGUCCCCGGCAUAACCCGCUGGCAACAUAGGACGAGGGUUGCGCUCGUUGCGGGACUUAACCCAACAUCUCACGACACGAGCUGACGACAACCAUGCACCACCUGUGUACGAGUGUCCAAAGAGAACCCCGUCUCGGGGGCUUUCUCGUACAUGUCAAGCCUUGGUAAGGUUCUUCGCGUUGCAUCGAAUUAAUCCGCAUGCUCCGCCGCUUGUGCGGGCCCCCGUCAAUUCCUUUGAGUUUUAGCCUUGCGGCCGUACUCCCCAGGCGGGGCACUUAAUGCGUUAGCUGCGGCACGGAACUCGUGGAAUGAGCCCACACCUAGUGCCCAACGUUUACGGCAUGGACUACCAGGGUAUCUAAUCCUGUUCGCUCCCCAUGCUUUCGCUCCUCAGCGUCAGUUGCGGCCCAGAGACCUGCCUUCGCCAUCGGUGUUCCUCCUGAUAUCUGCGCAUUCCACCGCUACACCAGGAAUUCCAGUCUCCCCUACCGCACUCUAGUCUGCCCGUACCCGAUGCAAGCCCGAGGUUGAGCCUCGGGAUUUCACACCAGACGCGACAGACCGCCUACGAGCUCUUUACGCCCAAUAAUUCCGGACAACGCUUGCGCCCUACGUAUUACCGCGGCUGCUGGCACGUAGUUAGCCGGCGCUUCUUCUGCAGGUACCGUCACUUGCGCUUCUUCCCUGCUGAAAGAGGUUUACAACCCGAAGGCCGUCAUCCCUCACGCGGCGUCGCUGCAUCAGGCUUGCGCCCAUUGUGCAAUAUUCCCCACUGCUGCCUCCCGUAGGAGUCUGGGCCGUGUCUCAGUCCCAGUGUGGCCGGUCGCCCUCUCAGGCCGGCUACCCGUCGACGCCUUGGUAGGCCAUCACCCCACCAACAAGCUGAUAGGCCGCGAGCCCAUCCCCCACCGAAAAACUUUCCAACCCACACCAUGCGAUGCGAGCUCAUAUCCGGUAUUAGACCCCGUUUCCAAGGCUUAUCCCGAAGUGGAGGGCAGGUUGCUCACGUGUUACUCACCCGUUCGCCACUGAUCCACCCAGCAAGCUGGGCUUCAC